GGCGGCGUGCUUAACACAUGCAAGUCCAGCGGAAAGGCCCCUUCGGGGGUACUCGAGCGGCGAACGGGUGAGUAACACGUGAGCAACCUGCCCCUGACUCUGGGAUAAGCCUGGGAAACUGGGUCUAAUACCGGAUAUGACCAUUCUGCGCAUGGUGGGGUGGUGGAAAGUUUUUCGGUUGGGGUUGGGCUCGCGGCCUAUCAGCUUGUUGGUGGGGUGAUGGCCUACCAAGGCGACGACGGGUAACCGGCCUGAGAGGGCGACCGGUCACACUGGGACUGAGACACGGCCCAGACUCCUACGGGAGGCAGCAGUGGGGAAUAUUGCGCAAUGGGCGGAAGCCUGACGCAGCGACGCCGCGUGGGGGAUGACGGCCUUCGGGUUGUAAACCUCUUUCAGCACAGACGAAGCUAACGUGACGGUAGGUGCAGAAGAAGCGCCGGCUAACUACGUGCCAGCAGCCGCGGUAAUACGUAGGGCGCAAGCGUUGUCCGGAAUUAUUGGGCGUAAAGAGCUCGUAGGCGGUUUGUCGCGUCUGUCGUGAAAGCCCACGGCUUAACCGUGGGUCUGCGGUGGAUACGGGCAGACUAGAGGCAGGUAGGGGAGAAUGGAAUUCCCGGUGUAGCGGUGAAAUGCGCAGAUAUCGGGAGGAACACCGGUGGCGAAGGCGGUUCUCUGGGCCUGUACUGACGCUGAGGAGCGAAAGCGUGGGGAGCGAACAGGAUUAGAUACCCUGGUAGUCCACGCCGUAAACGUUGGGCGCUAGGUGUGGGGUUCUUCCACGGAUUCCGCGCCGUAGCUAACGCAUUAAGCGCCCCGCCUGGGGAGUACGGCCGC
rnacentral:rRNA from 1 species